AAGACUGUAGUUUCAGGGAUCACUUCUAUAGUUAGUUACUAGAGAAGUUUCUGUGAUUCUGCAGAGCCCCUGAAAUACUGAGGAGCCAAAGCAUCCUAUCUUGUGUGUGAUGCCUGUUCUAGGUGUUGUUUUUUCAAUUGCCUAUUACUGUUGAUGAUUGUUCUUCUCUUCUCUUGGAAAAAUAAGAGAGAGAGGAUGCACUCUAAGUG
rnacentral:snoRNA from 1 species